UUAAUUUAAUGUCAUGAUGAUUUGUGGUAGAUGUCAUGAUUCCUUUAUUAUUUUAGGUCAGGAAGGGUGAUCGCUGAUAAACUUGGCACCGAAGGAUCUUCAAAAUGAUCGUGUACAUAUAAAUAGCUGCUAAAAGUUCAUUGGCAAUUUAUGGUGAACUUUCAAAGUUUUGUAUGAGUCUUUUCUUGCAAAGAAACCACCAUAGAAAUAGGAAGUGUGAUUCAUGUGGCUGAAAAUUUUGAUGUAAUUGUUGAGUGUAAGAUCCAUGUGGGUUGAAAUGCUCAAUUACCCUGAGAGAAACUUAAGCAAGUUCAGGGGUUUGUCCAUCUAUUUAAUCAAACUACUUGCUUAAGCCAGUGCUGAGUUAUAUUUAGUUGAUUAACAUCAUCGCUGUUGGCCUGCAUGGCUUACAUGAACUAGAAAAGGCUGCUAAAAUAUAGCUCAGUCAAUUGACAAUUGUCAUUAACAUUUGAAUUCUUCGUAAACUGUUUUAUCCAGAUGAUUGGAGGGUCUCCACCAUUUCCCAUUACACCAGACAUCAAAGUUCUCAAGGCAUAUGUCCUAAGGAGAAACCUCCUUUUAAUGCUCCAACCAAGCCUUAUUCAAAUGGAUUAAAGUGUUAGUCCGUUGUCUUGAAUAAUCUUUCUUUUCAGCAUAUUGAACAUAUUAUAAUGCAAUGUUGAUCUCUCUUUAAUAUAUUGGUGGAUGUUCAAUAUGCCAUUUAGUGUGCUCUAAGUUGGUAAAAUUUUGUCAAAGUAUUCUUUCAGUGGAAGAGAUUAGAACAAAAAGAAACAGAAAAAUAAAAGGGCUGAGUGAUACAAAGGAGAAAUAACUGAGAAUAGUAAAAGAUUCAAGGGA
rnacentral:lncRNA from 1 species